rnacentral:rRNA from 1 species
CCUACGGGCGGCAGCAGUGAGGAAUAUUGGUCAAUGGACGAGAGUCUGAACCAGCCAAGUAGCGUGAAGGAUGACUGCCCUAUGGGUUGUAAACUUCUUUUAUAAAGGAAUAAAACGAGGCACGUGUGGGAUUUUGUAUGUACCUUAUGAAUAAGGAUCGGCUAACUCCGUGCCAGCAGCCGCGGUAAUACGGAGGAUGCGAGCGUUAUCCGGAUUUAUUGGGUUUAAAGGGUGCGCAGAGGGACUGUCAAGUCAGCGGUAAAAUUUCGGGGCUCAACCCCGUCGUGCCGUUGAAACUGGCGUUCUUGAGUGAGCGAGAAGUAUGCGGAAUGCGUGGUGUAGCGGUGAAAUGCAUAGAUAUCACGCAGAACUCCGAUUGCGAAGGCAGCAUACCGGCGCUCAACUGACGCUCAUGCACGAAAGCGUGGGUAUCGAACAGGAUUAGAUACCCGUGUAGUC